AUUGAACGCUGGCAGCAUGCCUUACACAUGCAAGUCGAACGGUAACAGGGUGCUUGCACCGCUGACGAGUGGCGAACGGGUGAGUAAUACAUCGGAAUGUACCCAGUAAUGGGGGAUAACGCUUCGAAAGGAGUGCUAAUACCGCAUACGCCCUGAGGGGGAAAGUGGGGGACCGCAAGGCCUCACGUUAUUGGAGCAGCCGAUGGCUGAUUAGCUAGUUGGUGAGGUAAAGGCUCACCAAGGCGACGAUCAGUAGCGGGUCUUAGAGGACGAUCCGCCACACUGGAACUGAGACACGGUCCAGACUCCUACGGGAGGCAGCAGUGGGGAAUCUUGGACAAUGGGCGAAAGCCUGAUCCAGCAAUGCCGCGUGCGUGAAGAAGGCCUUCGGGUUGUAAAGCGCUUUUGUCUGGGAGCAAAUCCUGGCCUCUAAUACAGGUCGGGGAUGAGAGUACCAGAAGAAUAAGGACCGGCUAACUACGUGCCAGCCGCCGCCGUAAAAC
rnacentral:rRNA from 1 species